CCUGUAUAAACGGCUAACUACCCAAGAGAGUAGCUGUCGUCACUUUAUGGGCUUAAAUUUAGAACGAUAUAGUAAAGUCUGUUGCCAAAGGCUUAAGCUACUUUGUAGUAAGAGUGAUAACAGGAUAGCUAUAUUGGAAUGGUUCGCCGUAUGACCGAGAUUGAAAUAUCUAAACAUGAUGAGAUAAUAGAGCGGAAUCACUUCUACUCAUAUUAUUUUUUACGGUUCC
rnacentral:ncRNA from 1 species